UACGGGGGGGGCAAGCGUUGUUCGGAAUUACUGGGCGUAAAGGGCUCGUAGGUGGCCGACUAAGUCAGACGUGAAAUCCCUCAGCUUAACUGGGGAACUGCGUCUGAUACUGGUUGGCUUGAGGACAGGAGAGGAACGCGGAAUUCCAGGUGUAGCGGUGAAAUGCGUAGAUAUCUGGAGGAACACCGGUGGCGAAGGCGGCGUUCUGGACUGUUUCUGACACUGAGGAACGAAAGCCAGGGGAGCAAACAGG
rnacentral:rRNA from 1 species